CUUUGAUAAUACUGUGAGAGCUCAUAUGAGAGCUGGUAGGGAUCUUACGUACCAAACUUGAGGGUUACACCUACCAUGGUUUCUUAAGAUGGAUUCACUGGGCUUCCUCUAGCUCUCGUUACAAACUCCCAUAAGUUUUUAAGGCAAAACUUCUUUUCAGCUUUGGAAAAAUGACAGCAAGUGAUCCACUGUCCAGUAUUUAUUCCUUAAGGUUGUGCCUAAAGGCCACAGAAGGAACAUCAGCUUCCUGACUGCUUUGAGCACUUGUCUGGAUUUAGCAAUUCAGGUGACUAGUCAGUGCCUCUCCUGAUUCGCUCCCCCAUCCCUCUGAGGGAGAGCAAGCGAAUGGCUCUUAACCUGCAGUUAAACCACACCAACAGCAAUACUUUAUUUGCACUGAACUGCCUUACAGCUCAUUCAUACUCCCUCUAUAACCAAGCGGAGCUGACUACUUGCAGAGAGUCCUUGGAGUCUCUCUCUGGUCUUGCUCCAGUUCCAGAAGAGUUACUGGAAGGGAACCAACAAUAUGUUGAAUUUGGUGUACCUGGUGGUAACAUUUCAAAGAACCAUCUCUGCUUGGAAAGCCACCAGGAGGAGGCUUGGCCUUCCCAGAAGUGCACCAACAGCAGCAAAGAGUCUCUUGCAACCACUUAGCUACCUCUUUCUGCUCCGCAGCUGGGAUUAAUGCCCAAUUCUGUGAGCAUUUUUCCUCUUCCUCCUGUUUGCUCCACUGCAAAGUCAGACAGCUUAGUAUAAACUCCCUUCAAAGAAGCAUUCCAGCUGCUGAAUCAGCUGAGAAGACAAAGAGCAAGGCUGGUGUGAAGCCCAUUCUGGAGCAGUGGAAACCAAC
ensembl:lncRNA